rnacentral:tRNA from 1 species
GCAGGUGUAGUUCAAUGGUAGAGCACCGCCCUUCCAAGGCGGCCACACGGGUUCGAUUCCCGCCACCUGCUCCA